ACUCAAAUGAAUUGACGGGGACCCGCACAAGUGGUGGAGCAUGCGGUUUAAUUCGAUGGUAAGCGAGGAACCUUACCUAGGCUUGACAUGUACCUGCAUACAUUAGAAAUAGUGUAGCCUUCGAGGGUGGUACACAGGUGCUGCACGGUUGUCGUCAGCUCGUGCCGUGAGGUGUUCACUUAAGUGUGAAAACGAGCGCAACCCCUAUCAUAAGUUACAAGUGUCUUAUGAAACUGCCGGCGUUUAAGCCGGAGGAAGGCGGGGAUGACGUCAAAUCAGCGUGGCUCUUACGCCUAGGGCGACACGCGUGCUACAAUGGGAAGUCACAAAGGGACGCCAAAGAGUAAUCUGGAGCAAAUCCUUUAAACCUUCCCUCAGUUCGGAUUGAGGGCUGCAACUCGCCCUCAUGAAGUUGGAAUCACUAGUAACCGUGGAUCAGCCUCGCCACGGUGAAUACGUUCUCGGGUUUUGUACACACCGCCCGU
rnacentral:rRNA from 1 species